rnacentral:lncRNA from 1 species
CGUCGCCUCGCGCCACGGCGGGUCCCUCCCGCACCCCGUAGUUGCCCAGACAGACCCCGGCGGAAGGCCGCUCGUUCUGGCCUCACGCACGUACAGGUCUCCCGCACGCUUCCCUGCGUGCUGGGUUCCCUGGAGAAGUGACCCAAACGAGGGCGAGGGUUUCACACUUACGCGCCCACACCCAGCCUCUGAACACGCGUGCCACGUUUUCCUCAGCACCCUCCUAGGUAUUAACACCCACCUGGCUAGCGGGAGUGACUGGCCCCAGGAUGGUGGCUGCAGCCUACCACUCAGUCCGAUUGCCUUCUUCCCUCCUGGCCGCAAGUUUCUCCAGAUAGAUUUUCCAGGCCAGGCUGUGCUGCUGGGAUCCAACCUCAGGCUGGAUUCAGUGAAGACAAAGCAUUUGCUUCCAGGGAGUACUGUUGGGAAUUGGUGUUUCCCUGCAACGGGCCAGAACCCAGCCUGGAAACGGAGGGGACACCCUCUUCUUAUUUGCCAAACCCUUUCCAGAGCACAAGAAAAUGCCUGUGCCACCCUCCCUAAAUCCUAAAAUGCAUUGUUGACUCAUAAAAUCCACGCUGUUAAAUUCAUAUUCCAACCUACCUCAGAAUAAGAUAAGCAAAGGGAAGAGAAAAAUCAAAGGAAUUUACAGUUAUUACUGCAUCAUGCCAAUCAAGAAUUUUUUGAACAAAGGGGGAUUUCCAUCUGUUCUACCCUAUUUUUCUUCUUCUCCAACCUAUAAACUCCCUGC